UACGUAGGGUCCGAGCGUUGUCCGGAAUUACUGGGCGUAAAGAGCUCGUAGGUGGUUUGUCGCGUUGUUCGUGAAAACUCACAGCUCAACUGUGGGCGUGCGGGCGAUACGGGCAGACUAGAGUACUGCAGGGGAGACUGGAAUUCCUGGUGUAGCGGUGGAAUGCGCAGAUAUCAGGAGGAACACCGGUGGCGAAGGCGGGUCUCUGGGCAGUAACUGACGCUGAGGAGCGAAAGCUAGGGGAGCAAACGGG
rnacentral:rRNA from 1 species